GACGAACGCUGGCGGCGUGCCUAAUACAUGCAAGUAGAACGCACAGUUUAUACCGUGGCUUGCUACACCAUAAACUGUGAGUUGCGUACGGGUGAGUAACGCGUAGGUAACCUGCCUGGUAGCGGUGGGUAACUAUUGGUAACGCUAGCUAAUACCGCAUAAUAUUGAUUAUUGCAUGAUAAUUGAUUGAAAGAUGCUAUUGCAUCACUACUAAACGGACCUGUGUUGUAUUAGCUAGUAGGUGAGGUAACGGCUCACCUAGGCGAUGAUACAUAGCCGACCUGAGAGGGGGUACGGCCCCACUGAGACUGUGACACGGCCCAGACUCCGACAGAAGGCCGCAGUAGGGAAGCGUGGGAGAAGGGCGGAAGACUGAACGAGGAACGCCGGGUGGGUGCAGAAGGUUCUCGGGUCGGAAAGCUCUGUUGGAAGAGUAGAACGGGUUUGCUAGUGGAAAGUUCACUUUGUGACGGUACCUGACCAGAAAGGAACGGCUAACUACGUG
rnacentral:rRNA from 1 species